rnacentral:lncRNA from 1 species
AUGAAGGUGCAGUCUUCCCAAUCCCAAUGUUACAGAGCUAUACUUAAAGCUGUCUCCUCAGUAACUGCUAUGUUGGCAUCUGUUUCAACACAUGCACGAGGAAAACUCACAAAGGAUACCAUCCUGGGAGCUGAGUCAUUCUCUAAAACAGGACUGUCCUCUUCUGAACAUAAAAUGUUUCUCUCCAGAACCUAAGGGUUUUUGACACUCUCUUUUCAGCAACUGGAUCUUCCACUGUCAAAGCUCUAUAAAUGAGCUAAUACCUCCAAAUGGUUGCCUUACAUUGGUCUCGCUAAUGUUUUUCUUUUUUCUGUAAGUAUCAUGUUUCUUAUGCAUUCCUUCCAUCUGGAAAUAAAUUGCACUGAAUAAGAUGAACCUUUUUAAAA